rnacentral:ncRNA from 1 species
AACAUGUGCGCGAGCCGCGGGUCAGUACGAAACCCGUAAGGCGAAAUGAAGGUGAACGCCGGCGCGGUCCGGCGGAGGUUGGAUCCCGUCCCGUCGGGGCGGGCGCACUACCGGCCGAUCUUCUCCGCCCUGUCGGCGAGGUCGAGCGAGAGCGUGCAAGUCGGGACCCGAAAGAUGGUGAACUAUGCCUGAGGAGGUUGAAGCCAGAGGAAACUCUGGUGGAGGACCGUAGCGAUUCUGACGUGCAAAUCGAUCGUCAAAUUUGGGUAUAGGGGCGAAAGACUAAUCGAACCGUCUAGUAGCUGGUUCCCUUCGAAGUUUCCCUCAGGAUAGCUGGCGCUCUGUCGCAGUUUUAUCUGGUAAAGCGAAUGAUUAGAGGUCUUGGGGGCGAAACGCCCUCAACCUAUUCUCAAACUUUAAAUUGGUAAGAAGCCCGACUCGCUCGUUUGGAGCCGGGCAUGGAAUGCGAGUGCCAAGUGGGCCACUCUUGGUAAGCAGGACUGGCGAUGCGGGAUGAACCGAACGCCGGGUUAAGGCGCCCGACGCGACGCUCAUCAGAGCCCACAAAAGGUGUUGGUUGAUAUAGACAGCAGGACGGUGGCCAUGGAAGUCGGAAACCGCUAAGGAGUGUGUAACAACUCACCUGCCGAAUCAAUCAGCCCUGAAAAUGGAUGGCGCUGGAGCGUCGGGCCUAUACCCGGC